GAUGAACGCUAGCUACAGGCUUAACACAUGCAAGUCGAGGGCAGCAGGGAUUUAGCUUGCUAAAUCCGCUGGCGACCGGCGCACGGGUGCGUAACGCGUAUCCAACUUUCCCGUUACUCAGGGAUAGCCUUCCGAAAGGGAGAUUAAUACCUGAUGGUGUUUGAAGUUCGCAUGUUCUUCAAACUAAAGAUUUAUCGGUAACGGAUAGGGAUGCGUGACAUUAGAUAGUAGGCGGGGUAACGGCCCACCUAGUCUACGAUGUCUAGGGGUUCUGAGAGGAAGGUCCCCCACACUGGAACUGAGACACGGUCCAGACUCCUACGGGAGGCAGCAGUGGGGAAUAUUGCACAAUGGGGGAAACCCUGAUGCAGCGACGCCGCGUGAGUGAAGAAGUAUUUCGGUACGUAAAGCUCUAUCAGCAGGGAAGAAAUACCGACCUUUGGUCGCUAGACGGUACUUGACUAAGAAGCCCCGGCUAACUACGUG
rnacentral:rRNA from 1 species